rnacentral:rRNA from 1 species
AACGAACGCUGGCGGCAGGCUUAACACAUGCAAGUCGAACGCAUCCUUCGGGGUGAGUGGCAGACGGGUGAGUAACGCGUGGGAACGUGCCCUUCAGUUCGGGAUAACCCAGGGAAACUUGGGCUAAUACCGGAUACGUGCGAGAGCAGAAAGAUUUAUCGCUGAAGGAUCGGCCCACGUCUGAUUAGCUAGUUGGUGGGGUAAUGGCCCACCAAGGCGACGAUCAGUAGCUGGUCUGAGAGGAUGAUCAGCCACAUUGGGACUGAGACACGGCCCAAACUCCUUCGGGAGGCAGCAGUGGGGAAUAUUGGACAAUGGGCGCAAGCCUGAUCCAGCCAUGCCGCGUGAGUGAUGAAGGCCUUAGGGUUGUAAAGCUCUUUCGUCCGGGACGAUAAUGACGGUACCGGAAGAAGAAGCCCCGGCUAACUUCGUGCCAGCCGCCGCGGUAA